UUGGGUCUUAGUUGUCCGUUGCUUUUUAUUUCAAUGGUAUGGGUGUUCACUCGUACAGGAUAAGUAACUAAUUGGACGUACAAAGAUAUUUACUAAAACUUAAAAGGAACCAAACCACAGACGCAUAAUCCAGAAUUAAACAUGAAUAAUUCCAAACUUCCAGUCCCCGAUCGCCUUGCCCCCACCGUGCCCCGGCCGCUUUCAUCUCGUUCAUCAUGAUCAAAACGAUUAGAGAGAGCCUUAAAUGAAGCAGCGAAUAGAUACAUGGGGUUAUGUGCAUAAAUUGACUAUAAUCGGUGCAAUAUUUACUCUUAACAUAAUUUAGAGUUGCAACAGCAAAUUGAAAGAGUUUCUUCACCCAACCCCUCAUUGAUUUAAAUUCCCC
rnacentral:lncRNA from 1 species